AUAAAAACAAGUUAUCCCGGAUCAAUAUUUAGAGUUAGCCAAACUACUAACUUUGGACCCCAAUAAAAACCUCUUCGGUACGCCCCUGGUGGCAGAGUAAGCAGAUAUUUAUAAACAAUAUGCAAUUCCUUGCACUGUAUAGAAUACAUACUAAACUCUGCUUAAUAUACAUAAGGCACAUUUCAAAAAUCCAUUACAUGCCUCAAUUUUAGUACAUUUUUUAGAGUUAUUGAGAUCGAUGUCUAUCCAUUUGUCUUCAAUAUUAUCUUCAACUAAACUAUCAUAUGCAUUAAGCAAAUUUGUUUUACAAAUCAAUAGCCAUGAUAUAGUGAAUGAUACGAGUUCUAUUUUAGGUUUACCUCUAUCUAAAGUAGGCAAUAG